UCUUUAUUGUCCAUUGUAUUGGAAUUAGUGGUAUCCAAAUUACUCUCUUCGCUUUUCCUUACCAACUGCAUGUUGCAAUAAGCUGCAAAGCUAUAAACUUGCUGAAGUUUCUAAUGAGGUCUACAAUACAUAGAUUGUCUGCUGCUUGAACUAAUUUGUUUGUGAAUUUUGUACGUUAGGACUAGGAGAUAUGUUUUUUUUUUUUU
rnacentral:misc_RNA from 1 species